rnacentral:rRNA from 1 species
GACGAACCGUGCGAACGUUAUUCGGAAUCACUGGGCUUAAAGCGCGUGUAGGCGGGUCGGGGCGUCGGCCGCUGAAAUCCCCCGGCUCAACCGGGGAAGGGGCGCCGAUACGACCGGCCUGGAGCGACGUAGGGGGAACUGGAACUUCCGGUGGAGCGGUGAAAUGCGUUGAGAUCGGAAGGAACGCCCGUGGCGAAAGCGAGUUCCUGGACGUCGGCUGACGCUGAGACGCGAAAGCCAGGGGAGCGAACGGG